GGAUUAACUACCCCGUAACAUAUAGAUGUGGCAUCACAAUUAUAUUAUAGGUUUACCGCUUAAAGAUGGGUGUGCGGCUGAUUAGAUAGUUGGCGGGUAAUGGCCCACAAGUCUACGAUCAGUAGCUGAUGUGAGAGCAUGAUCAGCCACACGGGCACUGAGACACGGGCCCGACUCCUACGGGGAGGCAGCAGUAAGGAAUAUUGGACAAUGGACGCAAGUCUGAUCCAGCCAUGCCGCGUGAAGGAUUAAGGUCCUCUGGAUUGUAAACUUCUUUAUAUGGGACGAAAAAGGGCAUUCUUGCUCACUUGACGGUACCAUAUGAAUAAGCACCGGCUAACUCCGUG
rnacentral:rRNA from 1 species